CAACUAGUCCCUCCUUCCGGAAAUACUUGUCGAAGGAAUGAAUGUAUCUAGAUGUAUUUUAGUUCUAAAUACAUCCAUUUUAAUCAAUUUUUGCAACAAGUAAUUCCGGACGGAGGGAGUAUUAU
rfam:Hordeum vulgare subsp. vulgare, WGS project CAJW01000000 data, contig: morex_contig_2547102